AACGAACGCUGGCGGCAUGCCUAACACAUGCAAGUCGAACGAGACCUUCGGGUCUAGUGGUGCACGGGUGCGUAACGCGUGGGAACCUGCCCUUAGGUUCGGAAUAACUCCCCGAAAGGGGUGCUAAUACCGGAUCAUGUCUCCGGACCAAAGGUUUAUCGCCUUUGGAUGGGCCCGCGUUGGAUUAGCUAGUUGGUAGGGUAAAAGCCUACAACGGCGACGAUCCAUAGCUGGUCUGAGAGGAUGAUCAGCCACACUGGGACUGAGACACGGCCCAGACUCCUACGGGAGGGAGCAGUGGGGAAUAUUGGACAGUGGGCUAUAGGCUGAUCCAGCAAGGCCGCGUGAGUGAUGAAGGCCGUAGGGUUGUAAAGCUCGUUUACCCGGGAUGAUAAUGACAGUACCGGGAGAAUAAGCUCCGGCUAACUCCGUG
rnacentral:rRNA from 1 species